rnacentral:rRNA from 1 species
AUUGCCCUGGGGCUUGACAUCCCACGAACCUGCCCGAAAGGGUAGGGUGCCCGCAAGGGAGCGUGGAGACAGGUGGUGCAUGGCUGUCGUCAGCUCGUGUCGUGAGAUGUUGGGUUAAGUCCCGCAACGAGCGCAACCCCCACCCCUUGUUGCCACCGGGUCAUGCCGAGCACUUUAGGGGCACUGCCAGCGUCAAGCUGGAGGAAGGCGGGGAUGACGUCAAGUCAUCAUGCCCCUUACGCCCUGGGCGACACACGUGGCCACAAUGGCUGGUACAAAGGGAUGCAAGACCGCGAGGUGGAGCUAAUCCCAAAAAACCGGUCUAAGUUCAGAUUGCAGUCUGCAACUCGACUGCAUGAAGGAGGAAUCGCUAGUAAUCGCGCAUCAGCACGGCGCGGUGAAUACGUUCCCGGGCCUUGUACACACCGCCCGUCACACCACGAAAGCCGGCUGUACUCGAUGUCGCUGAGACGGGCA